UUAUAUUCAAUUUAAUAUAAUUCCUUGGAUCAGUUAUUUGAGAUACGUUUAUAAAAUAUUUUUCUUAUUCUUGAAUUUCUUUUUUCGUUUUUUAUUUGUUAAUAUUUAAAUUUACAAUAUCGCGCUUGUCUUAUGAGAUAUUCACUUGCGACCAUAUAUCGAUAUUGUAAGUUUUUUUUAAUUUGAUAAAUAUAUUUCUUAAGAUAUAUUCUUGCUGCUUUAUAUAUAAAUAAAUAUAAUAAUUCAUUGAUACAAGGUCUGUAAAACCGACGAUAUUUAAACUUUGAUUCAUAACUAAAAAAGUUCUCAUCAAAGUAUAAAAUUUUUAUCAAAUAAAAAUAAAAAACUGACAAUAUAUAUAUAUAGUCACAAAUGGGUCCUUCAUUGUUAGCUGAAAGUAAAUUUACUAUAGUGCUUUCGUUGAAUUAUAUUUUUAAUCAAAUAAAUAUUUUUAUAUAAUGAUGACAUUUUUGUUAGAAAUAAUAUUAUUUCUUUACUAAAACUUUAACUCAAAUAGCGACACUGUUAUAGAAGCGAGCAAGACGAAUUUAACUGUAGACUAUAUAUUGUUGAUUACAUUUUCCACAUGAUAAAAUUUCACGUUCUGAUUUUUGGCUACUAUCGUAACUGGGUAUGUCUAAAACUAUGAUUAAACAUCGUUUCUCUCUACUCUUGUGAUAUUGUAAUUGAUAUAAGGCUUUGUAAGAUAAUAUUUAAAUUUUAAUGUUUUUCUAUUGUCAUGGUUGCAGCGACGUCUGUCGCAAGCUAUAACUUUCUUAAGCAUAAAAUUCUUUUAAAUUUUUGUAAAAUAAAAUUAAAGUUUCUGUAUAGUGUUUUCUGUAUGAAUAUGUAUAUAUAUAUUACAUAUAUAUAUAUUUGUACAUACAUAAUCAAUGCCAAACAGAAACUUAUUUGGUGGAAACGUAUUUUGAAGUAGUAUCAUAUUUUUUAAAGGUUCCUGAAGAAUACAAAUUUAAAUUCAGGAAUGUAAUACGACCAGGUUGACGAUUAAAAGUUAAAAGUGUAUUCAAAAAUCCAAAUUUUCAUUGAACACAAAUAGGAUAAACAAUGUCUCAGGAGCAUGUUUGCAUAGAAUAAUUAUCCGCUUAUACUUGAGUAACUUUGGGCAAGUGUUUAAUGCAAGCACAUAAUGUCAAUAAAUUCGCCAAAUGGUGCAAAAUUAUUUGUAUUGCCGUACAAUUAUAAAAACUGGAAAUGUUUAA